CGGCCUUAGCGCGGUGGUCCCACCUGACCCCAUGCCGAACUCAGAAGUGAAACGCCGUAGCGCCGAUGGUAGUGUGGGGUUUCCCCAUGCGAGAGUAGGGAACUGCCAGGC
rnacentral:rRNA from 1 species